UACAGAGGUCUCAAGCGUUGUUCGGAUUCAUUGGGCGUAAAGGGUGCGUAGGUGGCGGGGUAAGUCAGGUGUGAAAUUUCGGAGCUCAACUCCGAAACUGCAUUUGAUACUGCCUUGCUUGAGGACUGGAGAGGAGACUGGAAUUCACGGUGUAGCAGUGAAAUGCGUAGAUAUCGUGAGGAAGACCAGUGGCGAAGGCGGGUCUCUGGACAGUUCCUGACACCGAGGCACGAAGGCCAGGGGAGCAAACGGG
rnacentral:rRNA from 1 species